rnacentral:rRNA from 1 species
UACGUAGGGCGCAAGCGUUGUCCGGAAUUAUUGGGCGUAAAGAGCUCGUAGGCGGUUUGUCGCGUCUGCUGUGGAAACCCGAGGCUCAACCUCGGGCCUGCAGUGGGUACGGGCAGACUAGAGUGCGGUAGGGGAGACUGGAAUUCCUGGUGUAGCGGUGGAAUGCGCAGAUAUCAGGAGGAACACCGAUGGCGAAGGCAGGUCUCUGGGCCGCAACUGACGCUGAGGAGCGAAAGCAUGGGGAGCGAACAGGAUUAGAUA